AGGAUGAACGCUGGCGGCGUGCUUAACACAUGCAAGUCGAACGGUGAAAGAGGAGCUUGCUCCUCUGGAUCAGUGGCGAACGGGUGAGUAACACGUGAGUAACCUGCCCUUGACUCUGGGAUAAGCACUGGAAACGGUGUCUAAUACCGGAUACGACCUCCGAAGGCAUCUUCUGGAAGUGGAAAGAAUUUCGGUCAAGGAUGGACUCGCGGCCUAUCAGCUAGUUGGUGAGGUAACGGCCCACCAAGGCGACGACGGGUAGCCGGCCUGAGAGGGUGACCGGCCACACUGGGACUGAGACACGGCCCAGACUCCUACGGGAGGCAGCAGUGGGGAAUAUUGCACAAUGGGCGCAAGCCUGAUGCAGCAACGCCGCGUGAGGGACGACGGCCUUCGGGUUGUAACCUCUUUAGUAGGAAGAAGCGAAAGUGACGGUACUGCAGAAAAGCACCGGCUAACUACGUGCCAGCAGCCGCGGU
rnacentral:rRNA from 1 species